rnacentral:sRNA from 1 species
ACUUUAUGUACUGAUCAGUCCUCAGCUGAAGACUCAGGGGGACUGUCUGCAGCUCUCUGGAAUUGUUUUUCUGUGUAGCUUUCCUUUCUGAUACCGUUGUCUGUGAACUCUGGUCACCCUGAUAUCCCUAGAGUCACAUCCCCGUCUCUUCAAUCCAUGGGGGCUGCUGGCCUCCGCCUGGUUUCUUUCUCCCUCUGCUGCCUACUCUUGAGAGGAACUGCCAAAUAUUUUCCAGAGUGACUGUACCAGCAAUGUGUGGAAGCCUCUUCGGCCUGCUGAGCAAGAACAAUCGUUUUGGUAGAAAUCCAGUUGUGCUGUUGGGCAUCCUGGUGCACUUCAUAGCUUUUUAUCUAAUAUUUCUCAACAUGCCUGGAGAUGCCCCGAUUGCUCCUGUUAAAGGAACUGACAGCAGUGCUUACAUCAAAUCCAGCAAAGAAGUUGCCAUUCUCUGCAGUUUUCUGUUGGGCCUUGGAGACAGCUGCUUUAAUACCCAGCUGCUUAGUAUCUUGGGCUUUCUGUAUUCUGAAGACAGCGCCCCAGCAUUUGCCAUAUUCAAGUUUGUUCAGUCUAUUUGCGCAGCCGUGGCAUUUUUCUACAGCAACUACCUUCUCCUUCACUGGCAACUCCUGGUCAUGGUGAUAUUUGGGUUUUUUGGAACACUUUCUUUCUUCACUGUGGAAUGGGAAGCUGCUGCCUUUGUAGCCCGCGGUUCUGACU